GGCACUAUGGCCGAGUGGUUAAGGCGAAAGACUCGAAUUAUCUUUUGGGCUCUGCCCGCGCUGGUUCAAAUCCUGCUGGUGUCG
rnacentral:tRNA from 1 species